rnacentral:rRNA from 1 species
UACGUAGGGACCAAGCGUUGUCCGGAAUCAUUGGGCGUAAAGAGCGUGUAGGCGGUCCGUUAAGUCGGCUGUGAAAGUCCAAGGCUCAACCUUGGGAUGCCGGUCGAUACUGCCGGACUAGAGUUCGGAAGAGGCGAGUGGAAUUCCCGGUGUAGCGGUGAAAUGCGCAGAUAUCGGGAGGAACACCUAUGGCGAAGGCAGCUCGCUGGGACGUUACUGACGCUGAGACGCGAAAGCGUGGGGAGCAAACAGG